GUGAACGAGCGACGCCGCGUGCGGGAUGAAGGGCUUCGGCUUGUAAACCGCUUUUGUUUGGGAAGAAUGCCCGGAUCGUGAAUCCGGGAGGGACGGUACCAGACGAAUAAGCCCCGGCUAACUCCGUGCCAGCAGCCGCGGUAAGACGGAGGGGGCAAGCGUUGUUCGGAAUUACUGGGCAUAAAGAGCACGUAGGCGGAGAUGUAAGUCAGGAGUGAAAUCCCCCGGCUCAACCGGGGAACUGCUCUUGAUACUGCGUCUCUUGAGUGCGGGAGGGGAGAGUGGAAUUCCUGGUGGAGCGGUGAAAUGCGUAGAUAUCAGGAGGAACGCCGGUGGCGAAAGCGACUCUCUGGCCCGCUACUGACGCUGAGGUGCGAAAGCUAGGGGAGCGAACGGGAUUAGAUACCCCGGUAGUCCUAGCCCUAAACGAU
rnacentral:rRNA from 1 species